CCAGGACUAGUGAGGAGGUCUUGGGUUUCCUGGGGCUGCCCUGCCCAUUCCUGUGUUCAACAACAGAGGGGCACUUGGAAUCCAUCAGCCCUGGUCAGAUGCUGAUGGAUGGGAGAAAUUCCAGGAGCCAACCCAAUCUCAACUGCAGAACCCCCCACACACACAAAAAAAACAGCCUUGCCACGAUAGACUUGCCAUUAGGCAGUACAAAUAUGUUCAAUUAGACCAAGAUAGGGCCACAAAGCCCAACCAAGAUUCCCGCGUGAAACAUCGGAGGAUGUGAAUGACCACAAGACUAGGGCUCCACUUGCCCUGCCCGGUGGGUGGUCCCCCAAGCCUAGGCCCUGCAGAGUCCAGCCAGUGCCUGAGGGCUGUGUUCGGCAUCAGACAUGUAUUUAGCCCACAUGAUGUUUCAAGAUUUGGGAAAUUCCUCAUGAAAUUCCAGAUAAUCUAUUCUCUUUUGAAAAAUCAGAAAGGGUCUGGCUGCACUAGGCCUACGGUCCUGCAUAGCAGGGAUGGUUUGAUCUGAUGGGCGGCUGACUCCGCCCACACCUGCACUGCCUGCUGUGAGCCCCUGAGCCUGUAAGCCCCUGUGUAGCCCCACACUCCACUUUACACAUGAAAGCACUGGGGACCAGGAGCCACAGGUGAGACCAUGCAGAUACAUGGUGGGGCAGCAGGGAACAGAGAGGGACCAACUCCUCUCGUCUGCUGAGUGGUGUGAUGGGCGGAGGAAGGACCUGCUUUCAGCAGCAGUUCACCUGGACAAAAGUCUCAGGGGAAUGGGGAAGGAGGAAGACCCCCAAGGUGAUUUCUGCCCCUAGGAACUCUGGAAGGGAUGUGCUGACCCUCUGCAAGGAGAUGACCUGGCUGCUGAUAACCUGAUCCCUGGCUCAGGGUCAGAGGUGAGUGAUGAGAGUGACCAUAUAAUUUAUUGUCCAAACUGGGUCACUGCUGAGCGUGAAGGGAACGGUCUUCAUCAUUACCCUGAAACAACACAUGUCAGGCAAGGCCUCCCAGGGUGCAUGGUGACCUCUAUGAACAAGAGCAACAGGCUCACCUCGCGGUGUCUCAGCUGGAAGCUCUUGCCCUCAUGGUAGCAGUUGUAGGUUUUCAGCAGGCCUAAGAGCUCCGACCUAGAAAGGGAAAGACACAUAUGUACUCCUGGGGAGUGGCAGGGCCUCAGCUUCUGGCCUUUGGCUUCCCUGGCCUCUUUUUCCUCAUUUGUAAAAGGAGUGUGACAGCACCCUUCUCACAGGCCAAGCAUAACCAGAGGAGACCAGACUGUGCCAUCGCGAUGCACCCAGAUGGUUUUGCACAUGGCCCUGGUGGGAGACAUGGGGGUGGGGCUGAGGAGGAGGUGAGACUCACAGGACAGGCCUGCGUCUGGUCCAGGAUGUCGAGGGUGCCGACACUUUCACUAUCACAGGUAAGGCCCUGGCAGCCUCCCUGUCCUCCACCUGCGUUGCUUCCUCACAGUAAAUGCCCUGGACUUGCUUGUGGCAUUGUACAGCCUAUUGCUUUUCCCCAUAUCACUUCCUACUAGGCCUGCUGUUGCUGCUGUGGGCCACCCUGAGGGGUGCCUGCCUCUUCCCCACCCUGACUUUCCGAAGGCGCAGCAGAAGGCGAUGGUCCUUUGAGUAAGGCCCUGAAGUCUGCAACCUAGAAGCUACUUGUUGGGAAGACAAGGAAGGGUGGACGAACAGAUGAGAAGACAGAGAGAGGAGUUUACGUACUUUGCCCAAGAUUGCCAGCAAGUAAGCAGCAAAGCCACUGUUCCAGCAUUCGGACACCUGAUUCUGGUCUCUUAGCACCUUCUCUAUAUCGAUCACGGGCAGUGACUUAAGCCCCCAAACCUUCCUUUCCUCGUCUGUGCAAUAAAGUAAUCUCAAGCCCACAGGAUCACUAGUGGAUCCACACACACUCUGUUCACACACACUGUUCCACACACAUACUGUUCUCUCUUUCCACACACAGCCUUGACUGGUUUGAGGAGCCGCUCCUGCCCUCCCCAGGUUUCUUUCACGGACGGUAAAUCCACCAGAGCUUUCUCGAUCCUGUUGGCAUCUGCACAGCUUCCUGUUCCUCUCACUCCCCCAUGUCAAUGUGGCCAAGGACUCUUAUCAAGGCCUCCUACAUCCUGGGCAGGGAGGUAAAGCUUCACACACACACACACACUCUCUCUCACACAUACACUCAUACACACACAUACACAAAAACGCACACACGUACACAAUCACGUGCACACACACAUACUCUCAUGUGCACACAAAAACACACACAUACAGUCACACUCAACACAUACACACAUGCUCUCACACACACAAACACAACACACGCACAUACACA